GGACCUGAGAUUCAUGUAAAAGCCCAGAUAUCCAGGUGACAUCACUUUAAAGCAAAAAGAAAAAAAACCCACAAAACAGUGAUUUGAUCAAGAACAUCCAAACCAACUCACCUGCAUAACACUCCGAGAAGGCGUCUCAGGCUCCCCUUGAAACCCCGCGGGGACGGGCAGGCAAACCAAGAGGUUGACCACUGCACGUUAAAGAGAAAAGCACCCUCACUCCUUUACGUGCUGGAGGAAAAAACCCAGCAGGAUACAGAGGAUGAGUGAUUUAUGUGUGCAUAACUUCAUCGGCGGGAUGUCAUCUAGGAGGUCUUUAAUUGGCAGACUUCAGGGACCACAGAGGG